rnacentral:rRNA from 1 species
GGGUGAGUAACACGUGGGCAACCUGCCUCAUAGAGGGGAAUAGCCUUCCGAAAGGGAGAUUAAUACCGCAUAAGAUUGUAGCUUCGCAUGAAGUAGCAAUUAAAGGAGCAAUCCGCUAUGAGAUGGGCCCGCGGCGCAUUAGCUAGUUGGUGAGGUAACGGCUCACCAAGGCGACGAUGCGUAGCCGACCUGAGAGGGUGAUCGGCCACAUUGGGACUGAGACACGGCCCAGACUCCUACGGGAGGCAGCAGUGGGGAAUAUUGCACAAUGGGGGAAACCCUGAUGCAGCAACGCCGCGUGAGUGAUGACGGCCUUCGGGUUGUAAAGCUCUGUCUUCAGGGACGAUAAUGACGGUACCUGAGGAGGAAGCCACGGCUAACUACGUGCCAGCAGCCGCGGUAAUACGUAGGUGGCGAGCGUUGUCCGGAUUUACUGGGCGUAAAGGGAGCGUAGGCGGAUUUUUAAGUGAGAUGUGAAAUACUCGGGCUCAACUUGAGUGCUGCAUUUCAAACUGGAAGUCUAGAGUGCAGGAGAGGAGAAUGGAAUUCCUAGUGUAGCGGUGAAAUGCGUAGAGAUUAGGAAGAACACCAGUGGCGAAGGCGAUUCUCUGGACUGUAACUGACGCUGAGGCUCGAAAGCGUGGGGAGCAAAUAGGAUUAGAUACCCUGGUAGUCCACGCCGUAAACGAU